AACGAACGCUGGCGGCAGGCCUAACACAUGCAAGUCGAGCGGGGACUUCGGUCCUAGCGGCGGACGGGUGAGUAACGCGUGGGAACGUGCCCUUUGCUUCGGAAUAGCCCCUGGAAACGGGGAGUAAUACCGGAUGUGCCCUACGGGGGAAAGAAUUUCGGCAAAGGAUCGGCCCGCGUUGGAUUAGGUAGUUGGUGGGGUAAUGGCCUACCAAGCCGACGAUCCAUAGCUGGUUUGAGAGGAUGAUCAGCCACACUGGGACUGAGACACGGCCCAGACUCCUACGGGAGGCAGCAGUGGGGAAUCUUAGACAAGGGGCGCAAUCCUGAUCUAGCCAUGCCGCGUGAGCGAUGAAGGCCUUAGGGUUGUAAAGCUCUUUUACCAGGGACGAUAAUGACGGUACCUGGAGAAUAAGCCCCAGCAAACUUCGUGCCAGCCGCCGCCGUAAGAC
rnacentral:rRNA from 1 species